AUGUUUCAUAUUGCGUCAGACAACAACAUUGACGAAUACGCUGAUUCGGUGAGCGAGUUCAUUAGAACGUGCGUUGAAGAUGUCGUUCCCAUAGCAACGAUUAAAACAUUCCCAAACCAGAAACCGUGGAUUGAUGGCAGCAUUCGCGUGAAACUGAAAGCGCGAACCACUGCUUUUAAUCAGUGCAAGGUGACCGGAAACAUGACCGAAUACAAACAGUGUAACUAUUCCCUCCGCAAGGCAAUCAAACAAGCUAAGUGUCAGUAUAGAGACAAAGUAGAAUCUCAAUUCAAAGGCUCAGACACAAGAGGUAUGUGGCAGGGUCUACAGUCAAUCACGGAUUACAAAAAGAAAACCAGCCCCGUCACGGACCAGGAUGUCUUGCUCCCAGGCAGACUAAAUAACUUUUUUGCCCGCUUUGAGGACAAUACAGUGCCACUGACACGGCCCGCAACUAAAACAUACGGACUCUCCUUCACUUCAGCCGACGUGAGGAAAACAUUUAAACGUGUCAACCCUCGCAAGGCUGCAGGCCCAGACGGCAUCCCAAGCCGCGCCCUCAGAGCAUGCGCAGACCAGCUGGCUGGUGUGUUUACGGACAUUAUCAAUCAAUCCCUAUCCCAGUCUGUUGUUCCCACAUGCUUCAAGAGGGCCACCAUUGUUCCUGUUCCCAAGAAAGCUAAGGUAACUGAGCUAAACGACAACCGCCCCGUAGCACUCACUUCCGUCAUCAUGAAGUGCUUUGAGAGACUAGUCAAGGACCAUAUCACCUCCACACUACCUGACACCCUAGACCCACUCCAAUUUGCUUACCGCCCAAAUAGGUCCACAGACGAUGCAAUCUCAACCACACUGCACACUGCCCUAACCCAUCUGGACAAGAGGAAUACCUAUGUGAGAAUGCUGUUCAUUGACUACAGCUCGGCAUUUAACACCAUAGUGCCCUCCAAGCUCGUCAUCAAGCUCGAGACCCUGGGUCUCGACCCCGCCCUGUGCAACUGGGUACUGGACUUCCUGACGGCCGCCCCCAGGUGGUGA
rnacentral:lncRNA from 13 species